AUCGUUCCAUUUAGUUGUUUAAGUUCACUCCGUGCCGAGUUUGAAAGGGAUCUAAAAAAAUGUAUUAAAUCAAAAACUACGUGUUUUAAUGUAUUAUACCAAUAACUUCAAGUUAAGUUGAACAAGAGUGAGUGCAAUGAAGGCUUUUGCCAACCGCAACAAGUUAAUGUUUCAUAUUUUGUUGUACAAAUGAACAACCAGUCAACGAUUGAAAUUGUUCCUUAGACAAGUCUGGAGAAAAGUGUACUUUUAUUUACAAGCAAUUCGAAACAAAUCGUAUUUUACCAAGAUUUUCUCUCUCAAAAUUAGUGCAAAUUUUGUGAUUAGACUGAGAACAGGCAUUGAGGUGAACAUCCAGCCACGCUCAAUAUCUGAAUGAGAGACGAAAAGAACAGUGAGAAAGACAUUAUCGUAAUGCAUGAAAAAAAAACAAUCCCCCUGUUUAAUAAAGAAGCCAAGAAGCUGAAUGAAUAUUGCCUGAGUAGAGUCUCUAAAAGAAGGAAAAUGCAAUUCCACUUUUGACCAGGAACCAGUUAGCAACGAUGGUGCCACAAACCGCGUUCGAACGAGCAAUCCAAUGGUUGUUGUUGAAGGUCAACACGCCACGUUGAAUGACAUGAAUGGAAAGAGGGGCGUUUACAAUGUAUCGAUGACAGUUGUUAGUACGUCGAAGGAUGGACAACGACUUUCCAAUGCUUAUUCAGUGGACAAAAGACCAGAAAUAAGAAGACAAUGGUUGCAAGUAGUCCACGAUUUGCAUUAGAACAAUCGAUGAGGAAUAAAUUCAGAUGCACUUUUUGUGAAUAUUCCAUUAAUCAUAAGGGAAGUUUCGACAGACACAUGUUAACGCAUACCUGCGAAAAGCCAUAUCGAUGCGACUGGUGUGGAAAAGAAUUCACACAAGGGUGCAUGCUACAACUCACACCGAUGAUUUCCCGUUCCAUUGCAAGGGCUGUUUCGGAAGAUUUUCUCUGAAGACUGAACAUGAAGCAAUUUACGUCGCUUAGAAUGCCAUCUCUGCAAGAAGUUUGUCACUCAUGGGAAAUCUUAUUUGAAAUUGCAUAUUCGAUCGCACACUGGCGAAACGCCGUUCCGUUGCGAAAUUUAUAAAAGUGGUCUAAAACGACAUUUGGACAACAUUCACACCAUAGAAACUUCAUAAGAAUCGAGGCAACAUCAAUACGAUUUGCAAACCGACUGCAACUUCAGAUGGAGCGCUUUAAUCGUGUCAUCUCCACUCAAAUUGUCUUCAAUUUAAAAUUGCCCAGUUCAUUCAUUUUAAAAUUUUACUCAUAACAAAAGUUUCACUUCUUUAACCCUAGGACCGGAACAUGCGAAAAAUCCUUAGGUCCGGACCAUGGGGUGUACAGUGCCCGACGUGUAUUUUAUAUGGGAAAUAGCAUUUUUGCUCCAAAAUUCAAACGCACAACUGAAUAACUUCGCGAUUUUUUAAUUUUUUUUUUUAUUUUUGGUUUAUUUACGUAGAAGAAUAUCUGAAAUUAUGAAUUUAGAAAAAUUUUUGAUGAUUUUGAAAAUUUCGUUGAACAAAAAAUUAAAUUGAAUGGGAUGACAAAUGCAAAUUUACAUAUAUAUACAAUGAGAUGUGAUGAGAAACAGCAAAAGAAGAGAGAAAGUGAGUAGAAAUCGAUUUUCCAUACAAAUUGUAUGGAGUCGGGCACUGUACACCCCAUGGUCCGCUUUACACACAUGUGUUGCCGAGUCGCGUAUGUUACACAUAUUCAUACAUAUACAUAUACAUGUUUGGUGUAGCAUGUAGCCAAAGGAUCAAGCUAUCGAAUGGUACUUGAAGAAAUACGAAAUUUUUAGUUGGAAGCAAUUUUAUUUACAUUUGAAAACGAGCUCGGGUGCUGUACACCCAUGGUCCGGUCCUAGGGUUAAAAGUCAAUAAAUAUGUAAACGUUUUAGUUUUCAUUUUUCAUUCAGCUUUGUUUUUGCAUUAAUUGAACAGAAAUGUGCCAUAAAAUUAACUGCAAAUUAUACUUAUCUCUUACCUUUAAACUCGCUGAAAAACAAAAAAAGAAUUUUGCGUCUCUGUGAAGACGAAAAAUCGUUUUGUGAAUUAACAAAAACACAAAGUGCUCUAGCGCGAUGUAAUAGUUCUUCAAAGAAAUGUGUUUAUUAAAGAUUGAAAAAACAGUUGCAAAUAUUCAG